rnacentral:rRNA from 1 species
CAGGCUGCAACUCGCCUGCACGAAGCCGGAGUUGCUAGUAAUCGCGGAUCAGAAUGCCGCGGUGAAUGCGUUCCCGGGUCUUGUACACACCGCCCGUCACACCAUGGAAGUUGGGGGUGCCCAAAGCCGGCAGGGAAAUAUGCUGUCUAAGGCAAAACCAAUGACUGGGGUGAAGUCGUAACAAGGUACC